rnacentral:rRNA from 1 species
GCAUAUCAAUAAGCGGAGGAAAAGAAAAUAACAAUGAUUCCCCUAGUAAUUGCGAAUGAAGAGGGACAAGCUCAAAUUUUAAAUCUAUCGGGUUUUACCUGAUCGAGUUGUAAUUUGAAGAAGCGUUUUCCGCGUAUUUGGUCAACCCAAGUCCUAUUGAAUGAGGCAUCAUGGAGGGUGAUAAUCCCGUCCGGUUGAUCAUUGCGUUUACGAUACGCUUUCUAAGAGUCAAGUUGUUUGGGAUUGCAGCUUAAAAUGGGAGGUAAAUUUCUCCUAAGGCUAAAUAACGGCGAGAGACCGAUAGCGAACAAGUACCGUGAGGGAAAGAUGAAAAGAACUUUGAAAAGAGAGUUAAACAGUACGUGAAAUUGUUGAAAGGGAAACGAUUGAAGCCAGUCGUACCUUCGGGUAAUCAGCCUUUCGGGUGCGAUUAUGUGGAGUGUGAGGAGCUUAAACACCUUCAUGUUUUGCAUAUUCGUACUCUUGGGUGUACUUGCCCGUGUGGUUGGUUAACAUCAAUUUUGGUGGUCAUAAAAUGACUGGAGGAAUGUAGCUUCGAUCUCGUAUUGAAGUGUUAUAGCCUUCGGUAGAUGUGAUGAUCGAGAUUGAGGAUUGCAACGGAUACCCUUCGGGGCUACCUGUCUGGUCUCUGAUCGUUGCUCUGGUGCCGAAAGCUUGCUUACGGUAAUCAAAGUCGAUGGUCAAUAGGUUAGAACGGGUUAAAUUCGUUAAGGAUGUUGACGUAAUGGCUUUAAACGAC